CUCAAACCUAGCAGCUUGAGCGGCCGUGCAUUUCCGUAACCGUCCGCUCCCGUUCGUGUAUCCAGUUGCGUUUGCUGAUUUUACGCGACCCCAAAGAAAACUUAAAACCUAUGGUUGCGUUUCACGAUUUUACGCGUCCCCAAAAAUCUACAGGAUCCGUCAAAUUAUCGCAUUAUCUGAUAGGUUCCGUCAGAGCUCUCGUUUUGGCGGAGUUGGGCCCGUUCCACCCCAACUCCAGGUCAUACCGGCUCGUCAGUUCCCAGUGAAAAAGAAUUGGCUGGCGCCGCCUGGCUUGUGGAUACAUAAGCUAAGGGUGGUCGGCCGAAGGUAACGUAGGUCAAUUCUCGAAUUUUUCGUUAUCGGUGUCGAGUUAAGAGAGAAUACGUUAAAAUACAUAUACAUAAUGGUACUUCUGCCCAACGUAUGAUUCAUGGCAAUACCAUUGCACACGAUCCAAAAUUAGCAUAGAACAUUAACAUUCGAUCAUAACCAACCCUGAAAGUAAAGUGCAGUGUGUACACACCAUAAAAAUAGAGUCAGUCAUAAACGAUACUAAUUUUGAAUCUCUAGAGCUGUAUAGAUAUACAUACCAAAAGCGUACUUGUGCAUAUCCGGUAUAGUUUAAUAAUGGCAACGUCGUAUAUCCUAACGUAGACAGAGGCAUUCAAAUUAUAGUGUAAAAAAAAAGGAAAAAACGAAAGCGUGUAAAUCGUCGUACGUGUGCACUAUUAUUUCCGGUUUCUGAGAAAUCUAGAAUAGUACUCAUAAUAAAAGUGAAAAUUAGUCAUGGGGAAGUAAAAGAAAGGCUACUGGCGUUAAAUCUAUUUUUGCGAUUGGACAAAGAGUUCGAUAUUCAAAUAUGGCGUCGAAACAGCUGUCAAGUUACGCCAUACAUCGAAAAGCACUUUUCAACUAGUUUCGUCUUUCGUUUUGCUAUCAUCUGAUCAUCAGAUUCACACGUCAUGCCCGAAGAUGUAAGAAAAAGAAAAUGACAGCAACAGAUCGAAAAUACACAUGCUAGAACCAGCGAAAGAGACCAACUGUUGGCCAACGGCCAGUAGAAAUGGCAAUGCUCUGAUAAGUGGCCUGGUGCAUCAAUAAUAACAGAAGAUUCGUAAUGACACGACUUUGUGAACGUUUAUUUACACUGAAAUCGCGCGGCACUGCGCGUGAGGAUUUACGUGGAGAAUUUCGUAUGCACGCGGCAGAAAUAUCACUACGUCAGUUCGGUAACAGUUGGCAGCCAUGGUCGUGCGAUUUCGUCAAGCAGUGACCACCUGGUCGAGUCAACUUAUCUAUUUAGUAACAGAACAAGAGGAACGAAGCCAAAGGUUCGACCAUUAAGAAAUUGGGAUACGAGGUACGAUAAAUAAAGAUUCGAGUUUGACAAAUUUCUUAUUUCUAGGUUAAAUCGCAAUGUGUCAUUAAUUCUUGAAUAUUUGAAACCGAAGUACGAGGGCAUUCGAUAGGUAUGUUCUCGUUGCCUAGACUUUCUGCACUUUUCAAAAAGUCGAAAUUCUUAUCGGAUGAUGUUAUUAAGUAACCAAUGAGAAUCUGCACUUUUUGAAAAGUCUGGCUAACGAGAACUGAUCUAUCGUGUGCAUCUUGACCGAACAUACAGAAAAUUACUCUUGACAUUUACCGGAUAACAGAUGACGUAAAAAGCACAAAUAUGUGGGCAUUAUUUGUUAUUAAGAGGAUUUAAUCGGAAUCACAAGUGUAUACGAGAGUUAACCAUGUGAGACAUAGUGCAGACUUUUAAGGUAUCAGUUUAUAGAUGGAGUUUAGGGACUCGUUAGUUCUGCAGAUGGUAAACUAAAUUUUCUCCUUGUCGUGUCACAAUCUAGAUGAUCGAUCCCCAUUACAAUAUUGAUGAAAUCUACCAGACUGGAACGUCCGUUAUUGUUUCCAAGAGGUCGAACAAUUCCUUACGCAAUGACCAGCCAUAACUAGCUACGAUUUUUUUUCAUUUGAAUUCCGCCGACAUAGAGACGAUUCUCUCAGUCUAUAAUUUUUCUUAUAUUUUUUCUUUUCUCUCUCUCUCUCUCUCUCUCUCUCUCUCUCUCUCUCUCUCUCUUUCUCUUUCUCUCUCUGUCUCUUUGUAAUAAUUCCAUUGACGCUGUUCAAUUAAUGCAAAUACGUGGACACACUGUAACUGGGACGGCUACUUAACCUUAUAUCGUGCCACUGUUCUAAGUCCCAUAAAGUCAUUUCGUUUCGUUAAAACGACCAUUUUGCGUAUGACGUGUCAGGCAAUAAACGUUAAUUUGCGCAGACACGUCGAAAGGGAUAUUAAUAACGUCAAAAAAGACCCAAAAAAGACUAUACACUGUCAGUAAGAACCUUUAACGAGAAAUUAUGAUAAUUUUUGGUUAUCCCGUUUACGAUGACACCGCCCAUUACUUACUAGUCAAUUUCGUGUCAAUUGGUAUCGAUUGUAUGUACGUAAGCUAAUUAACAUCUCACACACGAGACAAUUCAGUGACUUAGAAUCUUCCUAUGUAGAAUCUCGUCCAACGAAAAAAUUUCGUCAUGACUAUUGACUCAAAACGAUAAAGCCAUUUGUCAACAGUGCGUGAGAACAAACUAUGCCGACUUUGACGUAGUAAUUUGAAAAGUCGUACUACAAACGUACACGGUGUAACAAUCGUGAGAAAAACGAUAAUACCCUUAUCAUUGUAAAUUUGUAUUCUAAUAUAAUUCAUUAUUUAAAAUAUCAAUUAAGAAAAAAAUUCAAAAUAAUUUCUUUUAUCAAUCAUCACCUACGUUCAAAGAAAUAUCCGUUAUCUAACAAGUCAUUUAUAAUCCCAGUUCAAUAAACACUAUACGCAUAUCCGAUUUUAAAUUCACUCGUGUAAUUCAUAAAUGAUUUAUACAAAUUACGUAUUGUAUCGACAGUUACGAUUAAGCUGUAUAACGCGAAUAAGAAAACGAUGCAAUUAAUCCAAUGUAAUUAAUGCACCGGCUCGUCUUACGUUUAUCAACGAUAAAACUGUAUCGUUGUUCUUGACCUAGUUUUCUUUCAUUAACAGUUCAUUGACGUGAAACGCAUUGCGAUUUCACUGCUACAGUUUAAGAGUACGAAUUAGCCAUCUUGUCUAUUAGCGUCAGUGGCGACGCGGAGCGGCGCGUAUCGAAACUAUAAUAUUUCGAUUGCGUCAUACCCCUCAUUGUGAUUGUCACGACAGGAAGAAGAAAGACGGACGGAAUUUAAUUAUCGAGGAUCUUAUUUCGUUUUGAAUUAUCACCGAAACUUCCAUGGUAUUAUACAUAAUGCAAUUAUCAAACGUGCACGACGUCAUACAUAUGAAUCUGCCAAUGAAAACUAUGCAGUCUUUCCCAUGACGUAGCUGCUCUCUUGGCUUCUGACAGUUUGCCAAGAAGCUUGAUUCAUCGCGCGGAUACGUUUCUGUCUGAGAUUCCAUGUACUUAUAGGUUAUCUUGAAGGCUACGUAGAACGUGAGUACAAAAGGGAGUUUAAUUUUGAGUGGAUUCAGAUUGGACGAUCUUGUGGGGAAAAAAAAUAGUAAUAACUACAAUGGGCUAUCGUGUUUUUUUUUUGUUUCGUGUAGGAUGAUUAAAGUCGAUGAAUAUAGCGCGUAAGGAAACUGGUAAUUAACUGGUAAUUAAUGUUCUGUCGAUGAAAACGUUACGCCAUGAAUCGGUCGAUGAUGAUCAUCAUCGAACAAUUUCAUGGUCGUAUUCUGAGAUUUCACUAAAUCACUGUAUACCUUAAUUAAUCGAUACUGGAAUCUGUAAUUUUUUUUUUUCUUCUUUAAGUGAAUGCGGAUGGAAGUUUUCCUAAAGUGUAUUUUUAAUGUCUACGUGCGAGAUACUCUUCCUCGCAGAUAAGUCAAUGACGGACAACUGAUUUCUGUCAAGAGAUUGACAAUGCGAGUCAAGUGGUUUGAGUUAUGACGUCGGUACCACAGGAAUGCGAUAAGGAAGUUCAUAUUGCAAAGCCAACAAGGAUAUUAUUACGUUAAAGAGACAGAGUUUAACGUUAUAAUAAAUUGACGUAAUAAACUUUUCGAAGGAAUGGACAGAAAACAAGUGCGCAAGGCUUAGCAAUCGCAAAAUGUGUCUGGUUAGGUUAUCUUCACCGUCCCAACUGCAUGUGCUCAACAGGAUGUGCAAGUACAAGCUCAGUCAAUAUUUUUGAAAAUCACACUGCGUAAUUUUGCUAAAAAUAGAGAUGCGGCUUAACGGAGGCAACCAAAGAAGCUCACGCACGUGAUG